rnacentral:rRNA from 1 species
AGUGAACGCUGGCGGUAGGCCUAACACAUGCAAGUCGAACGGCAGCACAGUAAGAGCUUGCCCUUACGGGUGGCGAGUGGCGGACGGGUGAGGAAUACAUCGGAAUCUACUUUUUCGUGGGGGAUAACGUAGGGAAACUUACGCUAAUACCGCAUACGACCUACGGGUGAAACCAGGGGAUCUUCGGACCUUGCGCGAUUGAAUGAGCCGAUGUCGGAUUAGCUAGUUGGCGGGGUAAAGGCCCACCAAGGCGACGAUCCGUAGCUGGUCUGAGAGGAUGAUCAGCCACACUGGAACUGAGACACGGUCCAGACUCCUACGGGAGGCAGCAGUGGGGAAUAUUGGACAAUGGGCGCAAGCCUGAUCCAGCCAUACCGCGUGGGUGAAGAAGGCCUUCGGGUUGUAAAGCCCUUUUGUUGGGAAAGAAAAGCAGCAGGUUAAUACCCCGCUGUUCUGACGGUACCCAAAGAAUAAGCACCGGCUAACUUCGUG